rnacentral:rRNA from 1 species
AAAUUGAAGAGUUUGAUCAUGGCUCAGAUUGAACGCUGGCGGCAGGCCUAACACAUGCAAGUCGAGCGGAAACGAGUUAUCUGAACCUUCGGGGGACGAUAACGGCGUCGAGCGGCGGACGGGUGAGUAAUGCCUAGGAAAUUGCCCUGAUGUGGGGGAUAACCAUUGGAAACGAUGGCUAAUACCGCAUGAUGCCUACGGGCCAAAGAGGGGGACCUUCGGGCCUCUCGCGUCAGGAUAUGCCUAGGUGGGAUUAGCUAGUUGGUGAGGUAAGGGCUCACCAAGGCAACGAUCCCUAGCUGGUCUGAGAGGAUGAUCAGCCACACUGGAACUGAGACACGGUCCAGACUCCUACGGGAGGCAGCAGUGGGGAAUAUUGCACAAUGGGCGCAAGCCUGAUGCAGCCAUGCCGCGUGUAUGAAGAAGGCCUUCGGGUUGUAAAG